UAUAGAGUAAAAGUGACGGAACUGACAGUACGUGGACCACGUAUGGGAUUUUGUUGUUCUUGUAAGAAAAUAGAGGAAAUAGAUUUACAUUCAUAUUCAUUUCCAGUAUAAAAUUUACCCUUAUAAGUACAGUAAACUCCAACAGAGGUAAAUCGUAAAUGGUGAACUAAAAACUCAUGAACCAAUUCGUCGAACUCAUAAACCAAAUUCGUUAGUGCAUUUCUGUAAUUUUAUUCACGAGGCGUAUGCAUUAAAACUUUCCCACGCUGUACCAUGAGAUUAAAUUUAUUUCUGAUAGGCUGUCACCUCCACGUGACCCGUCAGUAAAGCUUCAGGUAAUGCAGCGCUAGGUCCGUUGUGGGAUAACUCACGAAAUAAGUGGUAACGCAAAACCGCCAUUACCCAGCUGUCCAAUUAUCUCCAUUAGAUAGGUUAUGUCACAUUCUCCACAAUCAGCGUCGGAAGUUUAGGAGCAGCUUAGCCAAGUCGGAAACUUUCGGCGUCUACGGAAAUGAAUUGACCUUCUGAUCGGCAUCGAAAUCCAUUUGUGAGGGGAAUCAGGACGCAGUAAAAUUCCUGGUCGACAAACACAGCGAUUUCGCGAUGGCAGAGGUCGGCGCUUCCGACCCGGUCGUCAAGGAGAUUCCUGUAUUCCUGUCGAAAACCCUCGCUGAGAAGCUUUUCAUCUUCCAAUACCCGCUGCGGUCGUCGCGCAGUGGUUUCGACAAUCUUAACAUCUCCAAGUCCUCCAUAAAGCCGGAAAAUCAGGAAGUGCGACUCGAGGUUUCCCUCGACACCGACAAUGUCAAUUACGAUCACAGCAAGGGGGAACAGAUCGCCCUUAAUGUUGACGGAGCUCUGAAACAUGACCAGGAAGGCGAACGAGCUUUCGACAGUCACAUUAUGGACAAGACAGUUCUUCAUUCUAUGCGUGCCCUUCCUGACUGUUCAAACUACGCCGUCGGGGUAUUCCUAGACGGAGAACUACACCUAACGCCACUGAAAGGCGUGGUUCAAAUGCGUCCGCAAUUCCAUUACCUGGACAAGAGCGACAAGAGAGUAAAGGACGAGGCUAAAGUGGCGGGCGAAGAGGCUGAAGACGAGGAGGAGAGUGUCAAGCAGGUGAAUGUGACGUUUGCCAGACAGGAGCCAGAGUUCUUGAAAAAAAUGCGGGAACAGUCGUUUCAACAUCACACUAAAAAGAGUUUAGAGGAGCAGUGGGUUCACACAGAAUAUGUUAAACCCACUACUGGAAAGGCAGAGUUGACCAGGAUGGAAAUGAUUUCUACUUCAAACGAGGACUCUGUCAAUACUCUAAAUCUAACUAGUGAAAAGUACCUCUCACUUUUGGUUCCACCGCCGAAAGAGGAUGAAAUCGUGAAGGCUGCAGAUCCCAACCCGACCAUGUCUCUGAAAUAUAUUCGCACACUGCCGCUUCUCGAUCAAAUACGAAUAUUCGUGAAAGAUGCAAAAGUCAUGGCAUUCUCCCAGCUGCGAAUUCUUCUCUCCAGCGGUCACGAUCCUGCCACCGUUUUGAAGUACCUUCAACAAGUAGCAGUGUUGGUUCAAGGAAAUUGGAUCGUAAACAGCGAGCUGGUUUAUCCAAAAGACACAGUUUCCGCGCACAACGGGAUCCCCUCCGACUUGAUGUGUCGAGCACGGGAUUAUGUCCUUUUGGCGUUCACCGAAUCCCAACAUAUCGAUCGCAAGACCAUAUCUUCAGUUGUAAAAUUGCCGUCCGAAGAGGUGUCUGAAAUAUUUACAAAUCUUGCCCGUCAUCAAACAAAAAAAGGAUGGUCUCUAAUCUUGCCUCGCAAUCAAGAUUUCUUAGAUAGGCAUCCGGAAAUUGCUCAGCGGCAGGAAAUGUUAUGGGAAGCAAAGCGAAAGCACCUAAGAGAGGCAAUGGAGCCUCACAAUCAGCCACCCCAGCGACAAAGGCGAAAAUCAAACAGGGAAUCGAUCGGCUCUGAAAACGAGGAGAGAAACGUAGGCCGAGGUAGAAAAACCCUGAGAGAUUCCUCGGUAUCCGAUAACGACAGCUCCGCCGAAAAUGCCAAGCAGAAAAAAACUAACAGGCCUAGAAAAUCGUCCGAGACAACGUGACCUAGGCUGGUACGUGAAUAAAUUGAUAACAGAAAGCGUUUGAGGGGCAAAAAAAAGGACAAGAAGGGGAAGAAGGAUUUUGGUUGGCCGGAACUGUGGAUGUCAAUCGUAUCAUCGAAGAUCAUUGUCAGUCGAAGAAAGUGUUGAUCUUACUGCCGCCACUGCAACUCCUGUCAGUAAUUAUUACCGUAGCUAAAGUCAAAUUUUUAAUGGCCUACCAGCGAAGAAGUCAAUUGACGA
rnacentral:misc_RNA from 1 species